GAUGAACGCUGGCGGCGUGCCUAAUACAUGCAAGUCGAGCGAACGGACGAGAAGCUUGCUUCUCUGAUGUUAGCGGCGGACGGGUGAGUAACACGUGGAUAACCUACCUAUAAGACUGGGAUAACUUCGGGAAACCGGAGCUAAUACCGGAUAAUAUUUUGAACCGCAUGGUUCAAUAGUGAAAGACGGUUUUGCUGUCACUUAUAGAUGGAUCCGCGCCGCAUUAGCUAGUUGGUAAGGUAACGGCUUACCAAGGCAACGAUGCGUAGCCGACCUGAGAGGGUGAUCGGCCACACUGGAACUGAGACACGGUCCAGACUCCUACGGGAGGCAGCAGUAGGGAAUCUUCCGCAAUGGGCGAAAGCCUGACGGAGCAACGCCGCGUGAGUGAUGAAGGUCUUCGGAUCGUAAAACUCUGUUAUUAGGGAAGAACAAAUGUGUAAGUAACUAUGCACGUCUUGACGGUACCUAAUCAGAAAGCCACGGCUAACUACGUGCCAGCAGCCGCGGUAAUACGUAGGUGGCAAGCGUUAUCCGGAAUUAUUGGGCGUAAAGCGCGCGUAGGCGGUUUUUUAAGUCUGAUGUGAAAGCCCACGGCUCAACCGUGGAGGGUCAUUGGAAACUGGAAAACUUGAGUGCAGAAGAGGAAAGUGGAAUUCCAUGUGUAGCGGUGAAAUGCGCAGAGAUAUGGAGGAACACCAGUGGCGAAGGCGACUUUCUGGUCUGUAACUGACGCUGAUGUGCGAAAGCGUGGGGAUCAAACAGGAUUAGAUACCCUGGUAGUCCACGCCGUAAACGAUGAGUGCUAAGUGUUAGGGGGUUUCCGCCCCUUAGUGCUGCAGCUAACGCAUUAAGCACUCCGCCUGGGGAGUACGACCGCAAGGUUGAAACUCAAAGGAAUUGACGGGGACCCGCACAAGCGGUGGAGCAUGUGGUUUAAUUCGAAGCAACGCGAAGAACCUUACCAAAUCUUGACAUCCUCUGACCCCUCUAGAGAUAGAGUUUUCCCCUUCGGGGGACAGAGUGACAGGUGGUGCAUGGUUGUCGUCAGCUCGUGUCGUGAGAUGUUGGGUUAAGUCCCGCAACGAGCGCAACCCUUAAGCUUAGUUGCCAUCAUUAAGUUGGGCACUCUAAGUUGACUGCCGGUGACAAACCGGAGGAAGGUGGGGAUGACGUCAAAUCAUCAUGCCCCUUAUGAUUUGGGCUACACACGUGCUACAAUGGACAAUACAAAGGGCAGCGAAACCGCGAGGUCAAGCAAAUCCCAUAAAGUUGUUCUCAGUUCGGAUUGUGGUCUGCAACUCGACUAUAUGAAGCUGGAAUCGCUAGUAAUCGUAGAUCAGCAUGCUACGGUGAAUACGUUCCCGGGUCU
rnacentral:rRNA from 1 species